CCUAACGGUUAAUACCCGUUAGCGAUGACAUUAGCUGCAGAAUAAGCACCGGCUAACUCUGUGCCAGCAGCCGCGGUAAUACAGAGGGUGCAAGCGUUAAUCGGAAUUACUGGGCGUAAAGCGAGCGUAGGUGGCUUGAUAAGUCAGAUGUGAAAGCCCCGGGCUCAACCUGGGAACGGCAUCUGAUACUGUUAGGCUAGAAUAGGUGAGAGGAAGGUAGAAUUCCAGGUGUAGCGGUGAAAUGCGUAGAGAUCUGGAGGAAUACCGAUGGCGAAGGCAGCCUUCUGGCAUCAUAUUGACACUGAGGUUCGAAAGCGUGGGUAGCAAACAGGAUUAGAUACCCUGGUAGUCCACGCCGUAAACGAUGUC
rnacentral:rRNA from 1 species